rnacentral:rRNA from 1 species
CUGACACGAUGUUAGGCCUGUGAACCCGCUGAAUUUAAGCAUAUUAGUAGGCGGCGGAAGAUAACCCAAAAGGGAUUCCUUCAGUAAUGGCGAAUGAACGAGGAAAAGCUCAGCAAAGAAAUCAGGGACCCCGGCCUUGAGUUGUGGACUUGAGAGGUAUUGCCAAUGGUGGCGCAGGUGCGGGCCUCUUGGAAAAGGGCACCACAGAGGGUGUGAGUCCUGUUUGUCAUCUGUAGUCCGCCAUGUACGGCAUGAUUCCUCAGAGUCACGUUCCUUGGAAUUGGAGCGCGAAGGUGGUGGUGGCUUUCAUCUCAAGCUAAGUAUGGGUUCGAGACCGAUAGCAAACAAGUACCAUGAGGGAAGAUUGAAAAGAGCUUUGGAAAGAGAGUUAAAAGUGCCCGAACUUGCUGAUAGGGAAGCGAAGGGAGCUGACGUUGCUUGGUGACAUAUUCCGCGCAAGAGUAGGAUGGGUUCUGAUUGCAAUCUGCGUAGUGCUUCUUGCCGUGCGUGUCGAUGCCAAGCAAUGAGUGGGGAGAGCACCAGGGAUAAUGAUUGUUUCUGUCCCCGGGUGGACGAAGGUGCCUGGUCGCAUCCAUUUGUGGGCUGAAACAAAUGGUGGCUGGUUGCAGCGCCCUGUGCCUGCUAGGCAGAUGGGGUGCAGCCCUGAUACGCAGACGAGGACAAAGUGCUUCUGUUCGACCCGUCUUGAAACACGGACCAAGGAGUCUGACACUCAUGCAAGCUCGCGGGUGGGUAAACUUGUUUGCGUAAUUAAGGUGUCUGUUGUGAUUUUUGUGCACCAACGCCCGACCAAUCAAUCGAGAGAGGUUUGAGUGUGAGCAUUUCUGUCAGGACCCGAAAGAUGGUGAACUAUGCUUGAGAAGGGUAAGUUCAGGGGAAACUCUGAUUGAGGCUCGUAGCGAUACUGACGUGCAAAUCGUUCGUCAUACUUGGGUAUAGGGGCGAAAGACUAAUCGAACCAUCUAGUAGCUGGUUCCCUCCGAAGUUUCCCUCAGGAUAGCUGGAGUUGAACAGUUUUAUCAGGUAAAGCGAAUGAUUGGAGGAAUCGGGGGCGCGGCGCCCUCGACCUAUUCUCAAACUUUAAAUCGGUAAGAUCCAGUAGUUACUUAGGUGAACUUCUGGGAUCAAUGACGACUCCAAGUGGGCCAUUUUUGGUAAGCAGAACUGGCGAUGAGGGAUGAACCUGACGUUGGGUUAAGGUGCUCAAGUGCUCGCUCAUUAGACACCAUGAAGGGUGUUGGUUCAUUUUAACAGCAGGACGGUGGUCAUGGAAGUCGAAAUCCGCUAAGGAGUGUGUAACAACUCACCUGCCGAAUGGACUAGCCCCGAAAAUGGAUGGCGCUGAAGCGGGUGACUGAUACUCAACCAUGGCUGCACAUGCGCAGCAGCGCUGAGUAGGAGGGCACGGGGGUUUGUGAUGAAGCUCUUUGUGGAAGCUUGAGUGAAACGGCUCCUGGC